rnacentral:rRNA from 1 species
GUGCCACCGCCGCGGUCAUACCGGCCGCCCUAGUGAUGGCCGAUCUUCUUGGGCCUAAAGCGUCCGUAGCUGGGUCUGAAAGUCCAUCGGGAAAUCCGCCCGCUCAACGGGCGGCCGUCCGGCGGAACCUGUGUGGCUUGGGACCGGAAGGCUCGAAGGGUACGUUCGGGGUAGGAGUGAAAUCCCAUAAUCCCGCACGGACCACCGAUGGCGAAAGCACUCUGAGAAGACGGCUUCGACAGUGAGGGACGAAAGCUAGGGUCUCAAACCGGAUUAGAAACCCCUGUAGUCC